GGCUGAACAGGGUAAGGUGUAUGGCUGAACAGGGUAAGGUGUAUGGCUGAACAGGGUAAGGUGUAUGGCUGAACAGGGUAAGGUGUAUGGCUGAACAGGGUAAGGGGUAUGGCU